rnacentral:rRNA from 1 species
UACGGAGGGUGCAAGCGUUGUCCGGAUUUAUUGGGUUUAAAGGGAGCGUAGGCGGUCUUAUAAGUCAGUGGUGAAAUCUCGAUGCUUAACAUCGAACGUGCCAUUGAUACUGUAGGACUUGAGUACAGUUGCCGUUGGCGGAAUGUGUCAUGUAGCGGUGAAAUGCAUAGAUAUGACACAGAACACCGAGUGCGAAGGCAGCUGACGAAACUGUAACUGACGCUGAGGCUCGAAAGCGUGGGGAUCAAACAGG